GACCUUUUGGCGCAGAAGGUAGCAUACCCACGCUACUGGUGUAUUGUGUGUGAGGCCUCAGUUCGAAUCUGGGACAGGUCA